GUUUUGCUCUGUACCCUCGUCAUUGCUCCAAUAAACGCGCGUGUAAGGCCGCAGAUAUUUAUUCGCGAGAAGAUUGUCCGUUUGGUCGAAGGAAGAGGAUAGAUGGUUGGAACGCGUGAUUUGAAUUCGAACUGCCAAGAUUAUGGCUUAGGCCAACAUGAUUUUCAGUCUGACAAUCGUGAAAUACAUGGAAGUGAUACGAAAGUUGUAUACACCACUGUGGCCGAAGGAGUAAAACCAAACUACUGACUCGUUCGUGCCGUAAAACACGCCUCUACGAGCGAAGUGGCACACGGUGCACGGCUCUAGCCGGGGAACCCUGGUGGCUGGAGCUGACAUUUGCGAGCCGUUCGCAAUUUGUACCUUUGUGUCGAACGAAAAUACGUGUUAAACUCUCUAGCCGUCGACGAAAGUUCAGAGCCGAGGGAAACCCGAGACACAAGUGGUAUCAAGAUACGAAGAAGUUCACCGCCGUGAACGGGAAAUUUAUGGCGCCUGUACAUCCCAGUAUCCGUGUACAGUGUACACGCGCGAGAGUGCAAAACGCGCGUGGCUGGCCUCUCCUCCCCUCGUGUCGCAUUGUUGCGGGACUGUGUCGCCGAGGGGACAGAGGUGAAUAUGGUUGGCAUCGUUCGCGUGCACACCGGCUGAAUUGAACGCGUCAACGGGGCCUUUAUCGAAGUUAAAUCGCAGACGCGCUCGUAAAUAAGGCGUUAUGCGCUGCACGGUGCACGAUAAUGCAUAUCGUUAAACAAAUUCACUGAAACGCCAGACAACUGAAGAUCGCAACAAAGAAGCAUAUCCAUCUUUCUUGAUUCUCUGAACUUUAUGUCGCUCGAUGGCUGAAGAGUAUCUUCGCGUGAAAUGGAUUCGUGGAUAUAAGCUUUUUGAAAAAAAAAUUAAAUUGCAUAAAUAUCUGCAGUAUAGUCAAGUAUUAGUAUCUUUUAAAUGGUUUGAACAGCUGACGAAAGUAUAUAUUUAAUUCCAAAAUCAGAUGAAAAAGGAGUUUCGAUGUAUAAUUGAUCGAUAAGAUGAUAGAGAACCUUGAAAUUACCCUCUUAUGAAAGACGAGAAAUGUGGUUUGUUAUGUUUUUCACGCGUGGCCUUGAAUCGUAGUACUUGAGAAUUUAGUGCGUACGUUUUGCAUUUUCGGAUUGGUCACGUAAUCCUACGUUAUGCGUGCAUUAUCUAAGUCGAAUACCUAUGAGAAUUAAAAGUCGCGCAAUUUUGGAGGAGAACUUUUGCGAAAUUUCUAUCAGGCACGUAGGUAAGAAAAUGAUGUAUCACCGAUACAUGUAAUUUUGUGUUUCGGUUCUAUGACAUAAAUGCGGGUCAUAUACUGCAUACCUAUGAUUUUCGCAGCGAAAGGGUUAAUUGCAGAUUAACGAGAAGCGAUAACUCCUAAACGAGAAGAAGGUCACUUGUACGUAUAUGUACUUCGCGGUUAAGAGAGAAUUUACAGAGUGGUGAAACCAAAGGGAGGAAGUUGGUUUCGUUUCCCUGUGUUUUACACCGGUCUCCAGUGAAACUGGAAAAACUCGCGUUAAACACGUAAUAACGAUAAUUAAUGGUCGCGCGAUGUACAGGAAACGUCAUUAAAUUCUAUGCUUGUACAAUCGUCCACCAAGUUAUAAACGUGGAAAUAUAUGUAUCUGUACGAAUGUAUGCGUGUAAGCUGGAGGAUACGUACUUCGUUUCAUAAAUUUCUUCGUUACUUCGCGAAACGUACGAGGGAACUUUAACAUGUCGUCGACGUGCCUAUCCUCUCGGUUCGACCCUCGAAGACUUAUUGAGUACAUAGAUCGGUGCAGGCUCCGUGCUCUCGUCGAGUUCUCGUAUAUACACCGUUUAUAAAUCUGUCGCUGUGGUUGCUCGCGGACUCGAGGAAGAGAGUCCCUGGAGCACCGCGAACAUCGUGUUCCGUUGAUUCGCGAAGUCGAACCAACUGGUUCGCUUCGCCUUGCUGUACUCCGUUUGCCAACUGGUUUCGCAAAGUUGAUAAGACCUGUAAAGCUUGGGAACGAGUGGAGAACCUUUGGGUAAGAACAAAGAGAUUUUAUUUUAACUCUGCUGUUCUCUACGGAACUACGUUUCUUAUUGAAAAUUAUGUUUCAGUAGACUAUAUUGAAAUAUAAAUAAUUUUUAAAUACAGUGGAACUCCAUUUAUCCGAACUGAUAUCAUCACAAUGCUCGAUUUAUCGAAUAUGAUUCUGGAUAUUUAUUAACCGAUCCCAGGCUACGCGACGACCUAUACGCGCUUAUGCGAAUAAAGAUUCUUGCCUUAUUUACAAAUUUCAGCUUAGGAAAAUCCAGUUAUAUGGAAAUUAACUCCGAUUAUGCGAAUGAUAAACAGCGAAGGGAGGAAGAACUAGCGGACUCUUAUUAUCCGACAUUAUCAGACUGGUCCAGUUAUCCGAAGCGUCUUGCCCGCCGACCGUGUCGGAUAAACAAAGUUUUAUUGCAUUUUGUUUUAGUAA